rnacentral:rRNA from 1 species
GACGAACGCUGGCGGCGCGCCUAACACAUGCAAGUCGAGCGAUGAAAUUUUAACCGAUCUCUUCGGAGAGUAGAUAAAAUGGAUUAGCGGCGGACGGGUGAGUAACACGUGAGAAACCUGCCUUUCACAAGGGGAUAGCCUCGGGAAACGGGGAUUAAUACCCUAUGACACAUUUCUUUCGCAUGGAAGAAAUGUUAAAACUUCGGUGGUGAAAGAUGGUCUCGCGCCUGAUUAGCUAGUUGGUGGGGUAACGGCCCACCAAGGCCAUGAUCAGUAAACGGGCUGAGAGGGUGAACGGUCACAUUGGAACGGAGACACGGUACAAACUCCUACGGGAGGCAGCAGUGGGGAAUAUUGCACAAUGGAGGGAACUCUGAUGCAGCGACGCCGCGUGAGCGAUGAAAGCAUUCGAGUCGUAAAGCUCUGUCCUAUGGGAAGAUAAUGACGGUACCAUAGGAGGAAGCCCCGGCUAACUACGUG